rnacentral:lncRNA from 1 species
CCUUUUCUUUCAAUAGCUUUAGGCCAGAUUUCCUUCUUCCGAGUAAUUGAUUCUAACACGUAAUCGUAAAACAGAAGAUAAUAAAUUAUCGAGACCUGAUUUUUCUGUUCAGGCUGGUCUCUUUUAAUUACCGUGUGCAGUCUGAAAAUACGGGACUAUCGGGGCAGGGGGGUCGUUUGAAGAAAUCUCCAAACAGGCUGUGCAUGGAGUAGGGCUUCACAUUUCCCUUACACCUCGGAAAAUUUCCCCUUCCCUUUCGGUCUGAAAGCAGCAAGCAGCCCUAAACACCUCUCUCAAUCUAGACACUUGGCUACCCUAACACAGCUGGGUAGUCUCAGGAACCCACUGGUCAAAAUCAAUGCCUUGCAAUCAAAAUUUUCCUUCCAGUCUGCAGAAUGGAGGUAGCAGUUGAAGCAUUUCUGCAGUCCUGGCAAGGAAGCACUGGCUUUCUUAGGUCUCGGUUCUCGAUCCCUCACCCGCAGGCAGUAUGGGCAACGCCAUGCUCCAGGCGUAUUUGUGGACACCAUGGAAGAAAGGGUAUGAGCGAUGGAGACAACAGCUUAGAAGCUCCAACGACGCAACGCGCCUACAGUCUGCUGCAUGGGAGAUGCCGUGAGGCAGCGACGAAGCCACUACGGUCCCUCGGGAAGCCACAGCUGAGGAUGACAGUGAGCUCCUUCUCAGAAGCUGCUUCCCUCACCCUCCCAGCACUGUGGUGUUUGCCAUCACCCUUCUCAACCGCCAGGUUCCUGCUCCCACUCAGAGGCCACGCAACGUCUCCAAUUAUUACUGUUUUGAAGGUGGUUCGUGUGGUGCACGCGCCGAGGAUGUGGUGGGGCCUCCUGGCUUCGCCUGACGUGGCGCGCGGUAGGAAGGGCCACGCUCACAGUCAUGCUCAAGCUGAGGGAGGAGGAAGGAGCUGGCCAGGAGGUCUGUCCUGUCAGGGGAGGCAUCUGCAGUGUGAACAGGGAAAAAAGCCAGCAGGGGCAGGGGGAAAUCAGCUGCCAGCUCCUUUGAAGAUCCCUGCAACUGAAGGGAGGAUCGGAUUGCCGGCUGACUUCUCCCUUCCCAAAACAUCCUGCCCCUAA